rnacentral:rRNA from 1 species
ACGGGUGAGUAAUGCCUAGGAAUCUGCCUGGUAGUGGGGGAUAACGCUCGGAAACGGACGCUAAUACCGCAUACGUCCUACGGGAGAAAGCAGGGGACCUUCGGGCCUUGCGCUAUCAGAUGAGCCUAGGUCGGAUUAGCUAGUUGGUGAGGUAAUGGCUCACCAAGGCGACGAUCCGUAACUGGUCUGAGAGGAUGAUCAGUCACACUGGAACUGAGACACGGUCCAGACUCCUACGGGAGGCAGCAGUGGGGAAUAUUGGACAAUGGGCGAAAGCCUGAUCCAGCCAUGCCGCGUGUGUGAAGAAGGUCUUCGGAUUGUAAAGCACUUUAAGUUGGGAGGAAGGGCAUUUACCUAAUACGUAAGUGUUUUGACGUUACCGACAGAAUAAGCACCGGCUAACUCUGUGCCAGCAGCCGCGGUAAUACAGAGGGUGCAAGCGUUAAUCGGAAUUACUGGGCGUAAAGCGCGCGUAGGUGGUUUGUUAAGUUGGAUGUGAAAUCUCCGGGCUCAACCUGGGAACUGCAUUCAAAACUGACAAGCUAGAGUAUGGUAGAGGGUGGUGGAAUUUCCUGUGUAGCGGUG